rnacentral:rRNA from 1 species
AUUGAACGCUAGCGGCAGGCUUAAUACAUGCAAGUCGAGGGGCAGCAGGUCCCGCAGCAAUGCGGGAUGCUGGCGACCGGCAAACGGGUGCGGAACACGUACAGAACCUUCCUUUAAGUGGGGAAUAGCCCGGGGAAACCCGGAUUGAUACCCCGUAACAUAAUGAAGUGGCAUCACUUUAUUAUUAUAGCAGCAAUGCGCUUGAAGAUGGCUGUGCGGCUGAUUAGGUAGUUGGCGGGGUAACGGCCCACCAAGCCUACGAUCAGUAACUGGUGUGAGAGCACGACCAGUCACACGGGCACUGGGACACGGGCCCGACUCCUACGGGAGGCAGCAGUAAGGAAUAUUGGGCAAUGGACGCAAGUCUGACCCAGCCAUGCCGCGUGGAGGAUGAAGGUCCUCUGGAUUGUAAACUUCUUUUAUCUGGGAAGAAAUCUAUUUUUUCUAAAGUAGUUGACGGUACCAGAUGAAUAAGCACCGGCUAACUCCGUGCCAGCAGCCGCGGUAA